UUUUGUUUCAGAUUGCGUUCCUGUGUUGUUUUACGGACUGCCCGCCGUUUUCCUGCUAAUUCUGGUCGUGGUGUCUGUGGCGUGUGUUUACAGAAGACUUCAUAAAAAUAAAACCGAUCACAAGUCCAGCGACGCGCCCUGCCGUCCCCAACGUCCCGCCCGACACAGAACAGUCCAGGAUUACUCGACGGAAUACGCAUCGCUCAAUCUGUGACGUGAUCCACAAAGCAGCGCGCUCAUCUUUCAAUGCAGCCGUGGAUAUGUUUUUCAUGUGGAGAGAGAGAGAGAGAGAGAGAGAGAGAGAGAGAGAGAGAGAG